rnacentral:tRNA from 1 species
GUCUGGCCGAAUGGUCCAAGGCGCUGCGUUCAGGUCGCAGUACUCUCCGGGGGGCGCAGGUUCGAAUCCUGCGGAAGACA